GCCCCAGUAGCUCAGCUGGUAGAGCGACGGCCUUGUAAGCCGUUGGUCAGGGGUUCAAAUCCCCUCUGGGGCU
rnacentral:tRNA from 1 species